rnacentral:rRNA from 1 species
GAUGAACGCUGGCGGCGUGCCUAAUACAUGCAAGUCGAGCGAACAGACGAGGAGCUUGCUCCUCUGACGUUAGCGGCGGACGGGUGAGUAACACGUGGAUAACCUACCUAUCAUACUGGGAUAACUUCGGGAAACCGGCGCUAAUACCGGAUAAUAUAUUGAACCGCAUGGUGCAAUAGUGAAAGACGGUUUUGCUGUCACUUAUAGAUGGAUCCGCGCCGCAUUAGCUGGUAGGUAAGGUAACGGCUUUCCAAGGCAACGAUGCGUAGCCGACGUGAGAGGGUGAUCGGCGGCACGGGAAGUGGAACAGGGUCAAGACGCCUACGGGAGGCAGCAGUAGGGAAUGUGCCGCAAUGGGCGAAAGCCUGACGGAGCAACGCCGAGUGAGUGAUGACGGUCUUCGGAUCGUAAAACUCUGUUAUUAGGGAAGAACAACUGUGUAAGGAACCAUGCACGGCUUGACGGUAACUAAUCAGAAAGCAACGGCUAACUACGUG